rnacentral:rRNA from 1 species
UACAGAGGGUGCGAGCGUUAAUCGGAAUUACUGGGCGUAAAGCGUGCGUAGACGGUAGCGUAAGUCGGGUGUGAAAGCCCCGGGCUCAACCUGGGAAUGGCAUUCGAGACUGCGCUGCUAGGGUGCGGAAGAGGGAAGCGGAAUUUCCGGUGUAGCGGUGAAAUGCGUAGAUAUCGGAAGGAACACCAGUGGCGAAAGCGGCUUCCUGGUCCAGCACCGACGUUCAGGCACGAAAGCGUGGGGAGCGAACAGG